rnacentral:lncRNA from 11 species
AGGGGGCGGAUGAUAAAACAAGAGAGGAAGAGCCAGACAAGGCCCGGGGAAGCUAUCCAGAGCACUGCAAUUGGAGAAGCGUGACGAAUGGGCAGUGCGGGCGCCGUAGGCUCCAGCAGAAAGGCAGAUUGGCUGGCUAGGAGUGAUUGGCCACAGCUGGAGGCAGCACUUGCAUAUAUACACACACAAGUGUGUCUGCGUGUGCGCACGCACACACACACACACACACCAUCUGGAGCUCCUUAAAGAGUUUCCCCAGUGAUUCAGUUUAAGGAGUGCCCAGCAGAAGAAAGGAGCAACUGCACAUCAGCUCAGGCAGAUCCAUCUCUAGUUUGCCCUCAUUACUUAAUGGAGAAUGGCUGGAAUCAGCUGCUUGCCUUCUUGCCAAUUGGUUCACAUUUCACUUCUGAAAAGAACCAAACUCUUCUACUUCUUCUGGGAAUCCUAUCCUGGCAAUAAAGAAUUGAUCUGUCAUCAAGAAUGUAUCCCUGAAGGCAUGGAUGAAAGAAUGAGCGAUGACCCCAUCAACACCAUGACCACAGCAUUCCUUCUUUAUUCUCCUUCCUCUCGGGAACUCUAACAGUGUGCAUAUACCAAUCUAUAUACAUUUUCAAAGCAGCUCUACUUUAACCAAAAACUUUAAAAAGUGUCCAGUAAUGCACUCUCUAUGUAUUAUAUAACUUAGAUUGCAGUUUCAUUCACACUUCCUAGAAAUUACAGUCUACUGUACUCAGGGUCCAAAUUUCCCAGUCUGUCAUCAGAGAUGGAGUUUUAUCUAUAUUAUAUGCUAUGUAUCUUUUUUAGCAUGAGGCACUUAAAGGAGGUCAUAGACAGUAAUUAAAAUGUGUGACAAUUCCCUACAUGUUUCACAGUUAAUACAAUCCAUGCAAAUAGAAACAAAGGUCAUUCUCAAAUUGUGGUACACAUGCCACAGGAAGUAUACAGAACCACCCUAGGUGGGACACAGAUAGAGGACAAUAAAUAUUACCCAUAACAGUACCACUGAAUUUUUUAAUAUUAUUUUUAUGUUAUAAUUAUAUAGCCCAACCAAACAAUUUUUUUCAUGGUGUCUUGGUUUUUAGGACUAUUCAUGGGGUUAUUUGAGGUGUUGAUUCAGAAAAUUGCAUUGUAUAGACCACAUCAGCUGUUUUUUAUUAGAUAUGGUUAUUAUUUCUUAUUGGUGAGCAGAUGGGUACUGGUAUAGGUUCUGUAUCUCAAAAACUACAGUUGAAAGGGGAAAACUGGUGCCAUUUUUGGAAUCAGCAAGUCAAGUAUACGCAGAAACAGAGCCAACAUUUGAGGUACCAAAAUGUAUGUUGCCAAUGUUAUCAGCACUAAAUUUUGCUCAAUAUUAUUAUUACAACUUCCUGUACUAACAAAAUUAUUCAUUUUAUCUCUUCCAAACAAUACUUUACUGCAGUUUUCUGUACCCUGAAUGUGUACUGUAAAUGAAAA